UAUAAUAUACUGAGUGUGAACAUUCUCAAAACUGUAUUGUAUAUAGUUUAUUUUUUUUAUUGUGUAAAUUUAAUUUUUGUAAAACUAAGGUUCCACAUGUCACUGUUGAAGUGAGGCAUUGAUCAGUGUGACACCACUUGUAAACAUGCUGCAUGUGUGGGGGUUCCCAGCCAGUGCUGCAUGGACUCCACACUGGUGAGGCACACUCUCUGUAGCUCCUCUCCCUGUAUUAAAUUAUACGCUUAAAUUUGGUGUAUUUUUCUUUAAUAAGUAUUAGUUCUUUUGGCUUAAAGCUCCCAAAGUGUUUUUGAUUACUUUGAACGAGGAAAAUAGUAAUUGGAACUGCCUUUUAUCUGUUACACCAUCCGUUUAUGUGUUCCUUACUUGUGCUAAACAGGGAUGAGUAGAGGCGUGCUGUUGCUGUGUGACACUGAUUUUGCUGCUCCACUUUGUGUUUUAGGUAUGUGUAAAUGUAUAGUUUUUGUUUUCUGUGUAUAAUGAGUUCAUGAUCUGAGGCUGCACACUGAAUAGCAUUUUCAGCCAUGUUGGUAAAAGUUAAAGUUGUUUGAAUAUGUAUUGUGUAUUUGAUCCAUCUUAGUGGGAAUUUGAAUAUUAUAAGUUAUUAUUAGUGGCUUAUUUUUGACUGCACCUUGCUUCAUCUUUGUCUCUGUUUUACCCCACUAUAACGUUUGAUUUAAAUGUGGCUGUUGAGAAAAACCACACCGUUGUUUUGAUAGAUUGUAUUUUCUUUUAUAUAUUGUAGCCAGUGCUGCAUGGACUCCACACUGGGAUGAGUAGAGGCGUGCUGUUGCUGUGUGACACUGAUUUUGCUGCUCCACUUUGUGUUUUAGAAAUAAAUCCAGUUUCCAGCCAGUCUGUGUCUGUCGUCACAACGCAGUCAACCGUUCGAAAUCUGCUACAUAAAAGUGGUGCCGUGACCCGGAUCCAUCUGAUCAGCCGCUGCCGAUCGCUGAGGUUGAGCUGGACACUUCUGACACCUGCGAUAUCAGCCAAAUUAUCUUGUGGAUCCUUUUAAAAAAAAUCCUCAGUGUUUUGUUAAUAGACAUUUCUCCCAGAUAUAUGUGUUAGGGUUUAACUGGGCUACAUUUACAUGUGUUGUAUUUUCCUGGGUGAUAAGCACUUUCGUAUUUUUCCUGUUUCCAAUUGUUUUUGUAGUUAUUGUUAAUUUCCUGUGAGUAACAUGACUGGUAGGGGCCAAGGCUCCUUUAACCUUUUCACACCAGUUGCUGGGAGAGGUUGGAGACUGUCUGGGGCAGAUGAAGUUAGGGACAGGUCCAUAAUGUCUCAUGAUGAGCCAUCAGAAUCAGAUGACAUUAUUCAAAAUAAUGCUCAUGCACUGUAAAAUGUAAUAUUGUGUUUAAUUAAAAAUAUUAAAUAGGCUGAACUCAAUUUUUAUCAAUUUGUUAUUAGAACUCAAUUUAAAUAAGUUACCAGUACUUUUUAUGCAAAAAUGCUGAUAAACUCGAUUAAUUUGAGUUGUCCUAACUUAGAAAAACUAAGUAAGCUGGAAGUUUUGCUUCUCAGGGCGGAAGGAUGAAAGAUGUGUUUUGAAAAUGCCACGUGACUACCGUCCUCCUCCCUCCCGGAUCAGUCCGCAUGUUCAUGGCGCCAGCAUUUGUUAUGGAAUAUAUUGAGCAAACCUGGAGAUAUUAUUGUUGUCAUUGCUGUGGAUCUUUACUGACUUGGCUCGGGACCAGCACUCCUGUUGUUGGACAGAAAGACAUCAACUCAGUGACUUGAGAUGUGACUGCACGAUGCUGUUGCUUCGACUCCAGUUAAUUCUACAAGACAUGCUGUGACACCAGGAGAGAUGAGUCCUCCGUCACAGAU